UGCGUAGGCGGCAUGUUAAGUCAGAGGUGAAAGAUCGGAGCUUAACUCCGAAAUUGCCUUUGAUACUGGCAAGCUUGAAUUAGGUUGAGGUUAGCGGAAUGUGACAUGUAGCGGUGAAAUGCAUAGAUAUGUCAUAGAACACCAAUUGCGAAGGCAGCUAACUAGGCCUACAUUGACGCUCAGGCACGAAAGCGUGGGUAGCGAACAGGAUUAGAUACCCUGGUAGUCC
rnacentral:rRNA from 1 species